GAUGAACGCUGGCGGCGUGCCUAAUACAUGCAAGUCGAGCGAACAGACGAGGAGCUUGCUCCUCUGACGUUAGCGGCGGACGGGUGAGUAACACGUGGAUAACCUACCUAUAAGACUGGGAUAACUUCGGGAAACCGGAGCUAAUACCGGAUAAUAUAUUGAACCGCAUGGUUCAAUAGUGAAAGACGGUUUUGCUGUCACUUAUAGAUGGAUCCGCGCCGCAUUAGCUAGUUGGUAAGGUAACGGCUUACCAAGGCAACGAUGCGUAGCCGACCUGAGAGGGUGAGCGGCCACACUGGAACUGAGACACGGUCCAGACUCCUACGGGAGGCAGCAGUAGGGAAUCUUCCGCAAUGGGCGAAAGCCUGACGGAGCAACGCCGCGUGAGUGAUGAAGGUCUUCGGAUCGUAAAACUCUGUUAUUAGGGAAGAACAAAUGUGUAAGUAACUAUGCACGUCUUGACGGCACCUAAUCAGAAAGCCACGGCUAACUACGUG
rnacentral:rRNA from 1 species